rnacentral:rRNA from 1 species
GACGUAGGGCGCGAGCGUUGUCCGGAUUUAUUGGGCGUAAAGAGCUCGUAGGCGGCUCGUUGCGUCCAUCGUGAAAACUCAGGGCUUAACUCUGAGCUUGCGGUGGAUACGGGCGGGCUAGAGUUCGGUAGGGGAGACUGGAAUUCCUGGUGUAGCGGUGAAAUGCGCAGAUAUCAGGAGGAACACCGGUGGCGAAGGCGGGUCUCUGGGCCGGCACUGACGCUGAGGAGCGAAAGCGUGGGGAGCGAACAGG